UGGGGAAUUUUCCGCAAUGGGCGAAAGCCUGACGGAGCAAUACCGCGUGAGGGGGGAAGGCUCUUGGGUUGUAAACCUCUUUUCUCAAGGAAGAAGUUCUGACGGUACUUGGGGAAUCAGCAUCGGCUAACUCCGUGCCAGCAGCCGCGGUAAUACGGAGGAUGCAAGCGUUAUCCGGAAUGAUUGGGCGUAAAGCGUCCGUAGGUUGUAGUGUAAGUCUGCGGUUAAAGAGUCUGGCUUAACCAGAUAAGGGCCGUGGAAACUACACAACUAGAGUGCGUUCGGGGCAGGGGGAAUUCCUGGUGUAGCGGUGAAAUGCGUAGAGAUCAGGAAGAACACCGGUGGCGAAAGCGCCCUGCUAGGCCGUAACUGACACUGAGGGACGAAAGCUAGGGGAGCGAAUGGGAUUAGAUACCCCAGUAGUCCUAGCCGUAAACGAUGGAUACUAGGCGUUGGUAGUAUCGACCCUACCAGUGCCGUAGCUAACGCGUUAAGUAUCCCGCCUGGGGAGUACGCACGCAAGUG
rnacentral:rRNA from 1 species